GAGAACCAGAAGAUGGUCUUUGGAGUCCAUAUGAAGAGUCCUCAGAAGGAGGAAGUGGUCCACAGUGUCAAGACUGUGCAGCAUGGAUGACUUUGCUGAGGGAGGUCUCAGUUUGGCAGAUGAUAUCUUACUGGAAGAUUACCCUUAUGAGGAUGACUGUAUCUGUACUCCUGACUUUACCACUGAUGAUUAUGUUCGAGUAACCCAGCUUUACUAUGAAGGCGUGGGUAUGCAAUAUAAAGAUUAUGCCCAAAGUGAGAAAAAUUUAGAGUAUGACAUCUGCAAUAUAUGGUGCAGUAAGCCACUGUCCAUCCUGCAAGAUUACUGUGAUGCCAUUAAGCUGUACAUCUUCUGGCCACUUCUCUUUCAACAUCAGCACAGUUCUAUAAUAUCAAGAUUGCACCCCUGUGUAGAAGCCAUCCGUUCUCGUGCUGCUGAGAUAAGUUUGAAGAAAUUACAACAUCUUGAGUUGAUGGAAGACAUUGUGGAUUUGGCAAAGAAAGUUGCAAAUGAUUCAUUCCUUAUUGAAGGCUUAUUGAAAAUUGGUUAUAAAAUAGAAAAUAAAAUCUUGGCAAUGGAAGAUGCUUUAAAUUGGAUAAAAUACACGGGUGAUGUAAC
rnacentral:lncRNA from 1 species